GAUGAAACGCUGGCGGCGUGCCUAACACAUGCAAGUCGAACGGAGUUAUGCAGAGGAAGUUUUCGGAUGGAAUCGGCGUAACUUAGUGGCGGACGGGUGAGUAAACGCGUGGGAAACCUGCCCUGUACCGGGGGAUAGGCACUUAGAAUAGGUGCUAAUACCGCAUAAGCGCACAGCUUCACAUGAAGCAGUGUGAAAAACUCCGGUGGUACAGGAUGGUCCCGCGUCUGAUUAGCCAGUUGGCAGGGUAACGGCCUACCAAAGCGACGAUCAGUAGCCGGCCUGAGAGGGUGAACGGGCCACAUUGGGGACUGGAGACACGGCCCAAACUCCUACGGGAGGCAGCAGUGGGGAAUAUUGCACAAUGGGGGAAACCCUGAUGCAGCGACGCCGCGUGAGUGAAGAA
rnacentral:rRNA from 1 species